rnacentral:lncRNA from 1 species
ACACAUACCACCCAUGUUGAGCGUAGGGCACCGGGAGCGUACCACACACGCUACCAUUAGUCCCUAUAGUUCUUCCACUAUUUCGAGACCUUUCCUACCAUCUAUUUUGCCUUUAGAUACUCAGUCUACAUAGAAUCAAGGUAAGAAGACUUAUGUUACAGUAGGUUGGGGUUGACAAGCUAUUUUUCAGGUUGAUUGCAAUCUGAGGAAGACUUUUUGUUUUUGUGCUCUAGGCGCCUACCCACUGAUUCCACUUCUAAAAACUUUGUUACUAAGGCACUUUACAUGCACCUUGAUGUAACAGCUAUUACUAUUUCAAAGGAGGAGGAGGAGGCUAUUCUUUCUAAACCAUUCAAGUUCACACUUGUUCGCGAAUUCUCAAACUGCAAGUCCUCUAUGAUUAAGGUAUAAGAAAAUUUCAAGAAGUUUGGUUUUUUGGGACCUCGGGCUUAAGUAGGCACAGCCAGUUUAGGGUGUCUGUAAAGGUCAAUUUGGAUUAUAAACUUCUGAAUAGGGUUUGGAUAGAACGGGAUAAGAAUAAUUGUUUCAAGCAGAAAGUUAUUUAUGAGAAGAAGCCAAUGUUUUGUUCUAAGUGCGAUACAUGGGGCACUUAAGUGAUCAGUAGUUUGAUUGCAAGGACUCCUACUCCUAUUGUUAUCGACACUCCUCUCUACGUCCUACUGGUUGGGCAUGUAAGGGUAAUGGUAAGGAGGUGGUUGUGAAGUCUCCUGAGCACUAUGUACCAAUUUAUGGUUCUACUACUAGACAGCAUAUGGCUAGCUUCUCUGUCGUACACAUUGUGAUAUCCACUCCACUAGCGGUUCACAAAUUACUAUCAUUAUUAAGUUAUUAUUGCUCUGUCAAUUACUGUUGUUCUGUUUGUUAUUACCGAAAACCUGUUGUUAUUUAUUCAAUUGUUGGUUUUACUCCACGAUCUAUAUUUAGUAUGUGCUGUUACAGUUGCUCCCACAAUUGCUCAAGUUGUAUAUUUUUCGGUGGUCAUAAUUCAAUACUUAACUCCUUAGUUACAUGCCCUUUCUUGUAUCUCCAGAUUGGGCAGCCUCUAGAUUCUGAUGAGAUGUUAGUAACAGCAGACUCUUCCUUAAGACCUCGCUUCGUUUUGGUCCCAACUCUGGCUCCCAGCCUACAUCUCAGUUUCCAUGUGAAUGUGAAGGCAAAUGUGCCGUCUGAUAAAGAAAUCACUGCUUUCCUUAGGGUCAGUUUGACAUAGAUCUUUUGAUGACUUAAUUAGAAUGGAACAGUGAGUUGAGGAUAAUAGCUUUGUACCUAUUUUGCAUAAGAGUCCAAAGAUGACAGAUAUUCCUUCGCCGACUAAGAGAGCAAUUAGGAAUACCAGUCAUUCCCCACCUUUUUUUAUGAGUGUUCUUAUUUGGAAUGUUAGCUAGUACAUUGAUUUUGUAGUAGUUUCUUUUGCAGCAGAACUUUGACUUUAUUCGAUGAUCUCCUUUGAUGUAGAGGUUGAGAAUAUGUCAAAUAAGAUUUGAUAUUUCUAGAAUAUGGGGACAAUUAUUUCUAUCAUUGGUUAUCAUCCUCAGUUCCUAUAUGCUAAAAUUAAGGAUCCUAGAUUUGCUAGACCAAUAUACAUAUCUUUCGUUUAAGCUUCUUGCUCUAUUGUCAUAGAAGUGAGGGAGAUAUGAAUGUUAUUGCACAUCAUGGUGAAUGCAUAUGAGGAAAUAAAGGGAUAGAGGUACUUCAAACUUCUAUGAUAUGAUGAUGGACGGUGUUUUGACUGAUGCCGCGUUUUCAAGGAUUUAGUACACUUGGAGCAAUUACAGGGUAUGGACACGUUUGGAUAAAAUGUUGAUUAAUUCUAUAGAGAUCUUUCAUAAAUAACUUACGAAUAGGCAUUUGAAUCAUAGUUAAAUAUGAUCAUUCACCUUUACAAUAUGAUUCUGUGCCAUUACCUCCGCUUUCUCAACAUGUUGACCUAGCACAUUAUUUUUUAACCUUUGUCUCUUAGAAGUGGUUAUUCCUAACUCAUCAUAUAGGAACUAUUGUUUUUGUGGGAGAUAUUAUUUUGGCUAAAAUAGGGACUACGUUGGUUAAAUCAACAUGUAUUUGGUAAUAUAUUUCAAUGGAUUAAGGAUGUUG